ACACUCCUGCGGGAGGCAGCAGUGGGGAAUUUUGGACAAUGGGCGAAAGCCUGAUCCAGCAAUGCCGCGUGAGUGAAGAAGGCCUUCGGGUUGUAAAGCUCUUUUGUCAGGGAAGAAACGGUGAGAGCUAAUAUCUUUUGCUAAUGACGGUACCUGAAGAAUAAGCACCGGCUAACUACGUGCCAGCAGCCGCGGUAAUACGUAGGGUGCAAGCGUUAAUCGGAAUUACUGGGCGUAAAGCGUGCGCAGGCGGUUUUGUAAGUCUGAUGUGAAAUCCCCGGGCUCAACCUGGGAAUUGCAUUGGAGACUGCAAGGCUAGAAUCUGGCAGAGGGGGGUAGAAUUCCACGUGUAGCAGUGAAAUGCGUAGAUAUGUGGAGGAACACCGAUGGCGAAGGCAGCCCCCUGGGUCAAGAUUGACGCUCAUGCACGAGAGCGUGGGGAGCAAACAGGAUUAGAAACCCUAGUAGUCCCAUGA
rnacentral:rRNA from 1 species